GAUGAACGCUGGCGGCGUGCCUAAUACAUGCAAGUCGAGCGAACAGACGAGGAGCUUGCUCCUCUGACGUUAGCGGCGGACGGGUGAGUAACACGUGGAUAACCUACCUAUAAGACUGGGAUAACUUCGGGAAACCGGAGCUAAUACCGGAUAAUAUAUUGAACCGCAUGGUUCAAUAGUGAAAGACGGUUUUGCUGUCACUUAUAGAUGGAUCCGCGCCGCAUUAGCUAGUUGGUAAGGUAACGGCUUACCAAGGCAACGAUGCGUAGCCGACCUGAGAGAGUGGUAGGCCACACGGGAACUGAGACACGGUCCAGACGACUACGGGAGGCAGCAGUAGGGAAUCUGACGCAAUGGGCGAAAGCCUUACGGAGCAACGCCGCGUGAGUGAUGAAGGUCUUCGGAUCGGAAAACUCUGUUAUGAGGGAAGAACAAAUGUGUAAGUAACUAUGCACGUCUUGACGGUACCUAAUCAGAAAGCCACGGCUAACUACGUG
rnacentral:rRNA from 1 species